AUGGAGAACGGGACGCUGGCCUUCUCUCCAAUUUUCAACGACCCAAAAUGGGUGAUGGUGAUAAAAGAUACCAGCAACCCCUCACAGAAAACGGCGAAAAAGCGAAAAGCAGACACACCUAAGGUCGAUGCGUGGGUGAGUCCCAUCGAUCCGACAGCACCCGGCCUUAUAUUACUGACUCCGAAGGCUUACCGUGGGCCGCCACAAAACGCAGUUUCGCCAAUACACUCUCACAACGUUUCACAUGUGGCGACACAAGAUUCUCCUCCGGUACGAAGGAGUCUCUUCUCCUCAUCAACAACGCAGGCAGUAGUCCCAACACUAGGGCCAGAAACUUCAACAGCUCAGCCACUGGUAGUCCCAACACUAGGGCCAGAAACUUCAACAGCUCAGGCACUGCCAUCAACAUCACAGCCAGAACCUCAAGUGGCAGAUAUUACGAAAGGUAUGUCAAAUAUGUAAAUAAUGUACUUAUCAUAUAGGUUAUAUUCUUUCGUUUAAUAUUAAAAUUAUCGUUUAAUAUUACAGUGUUGGUUGAUUUCAUUUCACUGUAGUGAACAGAAGCCUUAUGCAAUGAAAUCAUUUUGUUGCAGAUGGAGCAGCAGCAGGAAAACGGAAGCGCUCCCCAAAACAAUGCGACCAGAGCAUAUUUUCACCCAGAGUCUCACCCGAGGAAAAAAGACGACCCGAAAUCGAUGGUAUGAAAAAGUUCGUUUUAGCAGAUCCAAUACCCCCCUGGAUAACAACUGUUCAUUCCGGGGAAAUUGUGUUCUGGGUUGCCAUCCCAAACGAAAGAGGCGAGGGUCGCCACUCACGUCAAAGUCAACCGGACCAAGUAACGUGCUGUAAAAGUAUCAUAAGUGUGUAAGUGAUAAAGGAAGUGAUAUUACCUUCUUUUGUCCCUUUUAGGUGGAUUGAUUGAAACCGACCAUUUGUCGAGACAACUUCAGACGGUAAGUCUGGCCGAAGUACUGUGAGAGUUCUAAUUUCCAAAUAAUUUCAACCAAAAUUAUCGUGGAAAGACGAGCAGCGGAAGGAAAUAGAAAAGAAAAAUUGCCUUUGAUAAGGAUCCUGAUUCUUUUACAUUAAAACUGGACGCUGUUGUGACUUAGUGGGAUGGGAAUAAACGAAAGUUCUUCGAAAGCGCGAAAUUAAAAAAUAUUUAAUUUCGCGCUUCAUCCGGCAACACUGUACAUGUCGAACGUUGUCAAGUUUCACCAAUAAUUAACUCUCUGGCAACGCUGUUGCAUGACCUACAAGUUGGAGGGGUAAUAUACACUAUUGCAUAAACAACAAAUUGAAGGGGUAACAAACACUAUUGCAUAACCGCAGAUUAAAGGGACAAUAUGUAAUACUCAAUAUGCAUAACCCGAAAAAUGAAGGGGCAACCUACAAUACUUGUUACACCGUUGCCACAUUGUCCAAUGUCUACCCAACAACACUGUAAUUUAAUUCUAAUUAUAUUGCACAAUUUGGCUAUAAACUCUCAUUCUAAAAUCGUCAUUGCCCUACUACGGAGCUGGGAUUUUAUGCCGAUUUGUGUCCAUUUUUCCACCUAUAUGGAACGGCGCUUAUCAUAUUUUCAAUUUUCAUCUGUUGUACCCUAAUUGAAGUAAAGUUGUCUUCUUAAUGUUUCAGAAUCAUUUACCUUAUCCACAGGGCCGGCCAGUGGGGGGCGGGGUUCGCGGAUCGCGUUCUUGAUGUAGUGGGCCAAAGCGGUUGCUUAAACGUAAGUAAUACUUUUCUCACUCGUCUCUACUUCUUACCGAACCGCUCUCUUCCUUCUGUCUUACAGAAUUAUAUACCUUGUCUACAGGGCUGGCCAGUGGGAGGCGGGGUAUGCAGAUCGAGUUUUGAAUGUGGUCGAACAAAGCGGUUCCUUAAACGUAAGUAAUACUUUUCUCACUUGUCUCUACUUUCUACCGAACCGCUCUCUUCCUUCUGUCUUACAGUGGCGUGGCGUGUUUUGCGAUGUAUCAAUUGUAUAGAUCGUCCAGCCCACCUACAAACUAGGGGCUUCAAAGAGGCUCAUCGAUGGAACUGUUGACUGUUGCCUUUCAAAGGUCGUCGGACCGACGAUCUUUGAAGGUAACCGAUGUGUUUGAGAUACAUCACAGAUCAGAUCUUGAAAUUUUCAAGGAAUUCCGCGCUGAAAUGGCUGAAAAAUAGAAGAAUUGGUGCCAGUUUGAAAGUGGGCUGGACGCUUAUGGAACGCCGUAAAUCCAUUUAAUAAAUAUAUAUUUUUCUUCAUUUAUAAAUUUUUGUUUUUCAUACAUAUAUAUUCUUUCUUCCUUUUUUUUUUUUUUUUUUUUUUUUUAAAAAAAAAUAAUUUUCGUAAAUACUCCCAUUUUCAAAAUUCUCUGUAAAGACGUUUAUAGCCUGAGCACUUCUAAUGGCUUACAAUUAGUCCAUAUUGGUGACCCUCGACUCCGGGGUUACCUACCGUGUGUGCGCAAGUUUAAGGAAAGUUACGUUUAGUGUCCAACAAAUAAGAAAAAACGGCUAUGGUACACUUGUCCGUUCUUCAUUUAUUUUCAAGCAACGUUGAGGAAACCAGGGCAUGAAUGGAGGUAGCAUAUGUCAUGAUCCAUCAAAACUUUGAAGGGUCAUUUCAUGGGUGACACGCACCUAGAAACUUGGCGUUACGAACCAUCCAUUAGUUAUGAUUUAAAACUCACGCGAUCUCCGAUCUCCCACGUGGCGUUCUUAAAAACUUUUCAAAUGUGAUGAGGUGCUCUGGACUUUCUUCGCGAGUGAUGGCAAUUUUUGGUACACUACGGUAGUGCAAUAUAAAUUUCUGUGAUGGAAGCUGAAUUGAAAGAACCUGAGUUAAGUUUCCUACUGAUCCCCUCUCUUCUCUUCUGUCUGAAGACUCAAGAGCAACUCUCAUCCGAACAAGAUUUUAAUUCUAUCUCUCUUUUUUUUCUUCUCAAAAGUUGCAGGGCCCAAAUAAGCGACUUUAUUUAGCAAUUUUUCGCAUUGGGUAGGUCUGGAAAAGUCGCCGGGCCAAAAUAAGCGACUUUAUUUAGCAAUUUUAUUCAACGGUUGGUCUAAUCACACAUUAUCCACCGCCAAAAAUUAAGUUAUUUUAACGCAUUUCAAAGUUAAGAUUUGGUCUAUUCACAAAAACUCCACCGCCAAUCGAAAUGGAGUUAUUUCUAACGCAUCAGGAAAUUUUCAAAGAAGCGGAGGUCCGCUGAAAGUGGACAACCAUCAGAAAUCCCCCCCCAAAGCCAGGAAAGGUUCAACAACGGUGACCGAUAGCAGUCAAGCGCAGCUUAAACCAAAUUGUGCAUUUGAUGGUGUCGAACUUGACCAAUCACGAAUUCAAGUACAAGAAUUUAAAAUUCGUCCACAUAUCUGCUCAAUCGUGGUGGGUGCAUUGUCGGAGAUACCACGAUAUUUUCGCUUACUCCUUCGAGGUUUUUCCUGCCGGUAUUGUGUUGAGUCCAUUUAUGUUUAUCUGACUAAGUAUUUGUUUAUCUCAGGGUUAGCAUUUUUGUUUGGUAGUGCAAACACCUCCUCAUCGGAACCUAGUGAGAGAUCACCUUCCAAGGUUGUAUCCAUAUCCUCAGUGUUGUCAUCGUCGUUGACUAGGGCACU
rnacentral:lncRNA from 1 species